rnacentral:rRNA from 1 species
GACGAACGCUGGCGGCGUGCUUAACACAUGCAAGUCGAACGGUGAAGCGCCUUCCUUUUUGGUGGGUGUGGAUGAGUGGCGAACGGGUGAGUAACACGUGAGUAACCUGCCCCCUUCUUCUGGAUAACCGCAUGAAAGUGUGGCUAAUACGGGAUAUUCUGGGUCUGUCGCAUGAUGGGUCUGGGAAAGAUAUUGUUUCGGUGGGGGAUGGGCUCGCGGCCUAUCAGCUUGUUGGUGGGGUGAUGGCCUACCAAGGCGGUGACGGGUAGCCGGCCUGAGAGGGUGGACGGUCACACUGGGACUGAGACACGGCCCAGACUCCUACGGGAGGCAGCAGUGGGGAAUAUUGUACAAUGGGCGCAAGCCUGAUGCAGCGACGCCGCGUGAGGGAUGGAGGCCUUCGGGUUGUGAACCUCUUUCGCCAGUGAAGCAGGCCUGCCUCGUUUGUGGGUGGGUUGACGGUAGCUGGAGAAGAAGCGCCGGCUAACUACGUG